AGCUGAUUGAGCCCGUGUUUGUGUUUACGUCUCGCGAAUUGCGCACAUUUGGAACGUUUUCCGUGUUUCGCAGACGGUCGGCGGCGAUGCAGCGGCUGUUGCACUCGUCGGCGCCGCUGUCGGCGCCGCCGGACAAGGCCUUGCUCGGCAAGCCGCGCAAAAGAGCGGCGACACGUUCAGCAAGUGCAAAAAGGCGCUCGAGAACCGCGGAAACCACGUCGCCAAGGUGGUACGUUGAGGACUGCGAGCAAAUACCUGCUGAUGGCCGUAGGCAUUCCCUGGUGGCGUCAGGUCUUUUAAGAAUCUGAAAGGUUUUUGUGGAGGAGCGUGGAAAGUAUUUGUGCUGGGUAAACAAUUCUGCUGGCGAAGAGACGGUUCAGGUGGCGCUGACGGUGACGGCGCCGCUGUCGGCCCACGUCCAGCCUCAGCAUCAGGUCGUCGACGUCGGAAAGGCAGCCGUGUUCAGGAAGAGGUCGCUGAGCUGACGAGGGUUGACCCUGAUUGGCUUAGGCAGGAGGUGGAGCAAGGUUUGAAGAAAAGGACGCCCUGGGCAGCGACUCGGAGGUUGAGCAGCAGCACCGCAACUCCACCUUUUCGUCCGAGACGUCGGUGUCGAGCGGCCGCAAGUCGUACCCUUCGCCGAAGGGUCAGGUGCGCACCUCCAGCCACGCUGACGACACCACCUUCAGUGUUGUGUCGUGGGAGUGGGCGUCGGCGUGCUAGUCUGGCUGCUCGUCCGACUCGCACCACCAGCUGAGAGCUGAGCGAGGCCGAGUGCCGACUCGCCUCACCACCAAUACCACCUUCCAUGUCUGUGAUUCGCCCCUUCACACCCCAAAUCCAUAAAUUUA